UGCAGCUGAACACAGAUUUUCAUUGUUCUAAUUGUGCAAAGAAACCUUGAAGACAAACGAUAUACAGCUCCUGAAGUCUCCUAACUCUACAGGUUUGAGAGAGGAGGUAUAACUAGAACUCAUGCAGAUACCUCACGGCUGAUGCCAAAUGAGGCAGACAGCUCUACCUGAGCCACGGAUACAUGAGCUCACUUAUGGUCUCCAGAGAAUGGAGAGUCGCAUGCAGAGACCCAUGAAGGGACCUACAGAGCAACCAGAAACCAAGGAGGUGUGGGAAAGCAGGGCACAUACAGGGUGCAAGGCUGUGAAUCCCACCUAUGAGAAAUUCCACACAGCAAGACUGGAACAGGAAAUAAUAAAUCUACAUCUCAAAAAGGGCACUGGCUGCUGUUGCCUGUAAUUCUCCAAGCUGAUGGAGAGAUUCAUGAGCUCCAGUGAGACCCACAACCUGCACAAGCUAACUUAUCUCUGGCUGCAAUUUAACCCAAUUUUAACAGCUCCCAGGCCCUCAAUAACAGUAUGACCUGGAGCUUCUCAAGCCCCUUAUUCUAUCCCACUUUAUAAAAGCUUUCUCCUUAAGAAUAUUUUCAGCACAAAUCCUGCUUUUCCUUAUCACAUCUGAACCUCUAAAGGCAGAAAUAACAAAUAUGGAUCAGAGAAGCUCUGGAAAAACAUAUCUCAAGAUGAUUGGGGUUUGUCAUCACCAGAAUGAAAUUAAGACAGGUUGCUGGCAACAAUUUCUUUUUCAGGAAACCUAUUACUUUAUCCUGUGUUAACAGGAAUAUUUAGAUUAGCAGGGACCAUUAAUCAAUCCCUACUUGUACUACAUAUGCUACUUUUUGAAAGGCAAGACAUACCUUUUGGAUAAGAUUCUGCAAACACAUCUAACAUAGAGUACAGUGAAAGAGGCAAAAAGGUGUAAGGAUUUUGUCUGACCGCAAAAUGAGCCUUACCUCAGCUACUUUGACUGGAUAUCAGUUAACAAGAACAUCCUUUCCCUCUAGAUUUUCACCCAAGAAUGUAUGGUUUUGUGGCUUUUAUAAUGGACUUGAGAUAAUUGCCUACUCUGUAGUUUUUAUACCUUUUAAAUCUAAUUAUUGUUUGCAGUGUCAAUAGACAAAAUACCCAGAGUUCAAUACAAGAUGCCACAAGAGCUCAUGGAGGGGACAUAGUGAACAAUGACUUGGCAAACUUCUCCUCUAUCAAUCUUCUCAAGAUAGGUCAUUGGGAUUUUACCUGACUGCCUAAGUCACUUGAAAGACUCUUUAGAUCAGUCAUUUUCCACAAGGCAUCCAAAAUAAAUGACAUAAAUUUUCUGCUUGGUGCUCA
rnacentral:lncRNA from 1 species